rnacentral:rRNA from 1 species
GAUGAACGCUGGCGGCGUGCCUAAUACAUGCAAGUCGAACGAGUUCUGAUUAUUGAAAGGUGCUUGCAUCUUGAUUUUAAUUUUGAACGAGUGGCGGACGGGUGAGUAACACGUGGGUAACCUGCCCUUAAGUGGGGGAUAACAUUUGGAAACAGAUGCUAAUACCGCAUAAAUCCAAGAACCGCAUGGUUCUUGGCUGAAAGAUGGCGUAAGCUAUCGCUUUUGGAUGGACCCGCGGCGUAUUAGCUAGUUGGUGAGGUAACGGCUCACCAAGGCAAUGAUACGUAGCCGAACUGAGAGGUUGAUCGGCCACAUUGGGACUGAGACACGGCCCAAACUCCUACGGGAGGCAGCAGUAGGGAAUCUUCCACAAUGGACGCAAGUCUGAUGGAGCAACGCCGCGUGAGUGAAGAAGGCUUUCGGGUCGUAAAACUCUGUUGUUGGAGAAGAAUGGUCGGCAGAGUAACUGUUGUCGGCGUGACGGUAUCCAACCAGAAAGCCACGGCUAACUACGUGCCAGCAGCCGCGGUAAUACGUAGGUGGCAAGCGUUAUCCGGAUUUAUUGGGCGUAAAGCGAGCGCAGGCGGUUUUUUAAGUCUGAUGUGAAAGCCCUCGGCUUAACCGAGGAAGUGCAUCGGAAACUGGGAAACUUGAGUGCAGAAGAGGACAGUGGAACUCCAUGUGUAGCGGUGAAAUGCGUAGAUAUAUGGAAGAACACCAGUGGCGAAGGCGGCUGUCUGGUCUGUAACUGACGCUGAGGCUCGAAAGCAUGGGUAGCGAACAGGAUUAGAUACCCUGGUAGUCCAUGCCGUAAACGAUGAAUGCUAGGUGUUGGAGGGUUUCCGCCCUUCAGUGCCGCAGCUAACGCAUUAAGCAUUCCGCCUGGGGAGUACGACCGCAAGGUUGAAACUCAAAGGAAUUGACGGGGGCCCGCACAAGCGGUGGAGCAUGUAGUUUAAUUCGAAGCAACGCGAAGAACCUUACCAGGUCUUGACAUCUUUUGAUCACCUGAGAGAUCAGGUUUCCCCUUCGGGGGCAAAAUGACAGGUGGUGCAUGGUUGUCGUCAGCUCGUGUCGUGAGAUGUUGGGUUAAGUCCCGCAACGAGCGCAACCCUUAUGACUAGUUGCCAGCAUUUAGUUGGGCACUCUAGUAAGACUGCCGGUGACAAACCGGAGGAAGGUGGGGAUGACGUCAAAUCAUCAUGCCCCUUAUGACCUGGGCUACACACGUGCUACAAUGGAUGGUACAACGAGUUGCGAGACCGCGAGGUCAAGCUAAUCUCUUAAAGCCAUUCUCAGUUCGGACUGUAGGCUGCAACUCGCCUACACGAAGUCGGAAUCGCUAGUAAUCGCGGAUCAGCACGCCGCGGUGAAUACGUUCCCGGGCCUUGUACACACCGCCCGUCACACCAUGAGAGUUUGUAACACCCGAAGCCGGUGGCGUAACCCUUUUAGGGAGCGAGCCGUCUAAGGUGGGACAAAUGA